rnacentral:lncRNA from 1 species
AGGAAAGGCGAAGGGAGGUUAAUUAGCAAGAGCAGACGAGCAGACGAGCAGGGCAGGGCAGUCAGUGGAGCAGCAGGGGUGGGGGGCGGGGACGGACGAUGUUGCCAGGAAUCCCCUCAGGGCCAUUUAAGUAAAAGUGCUGCAGGUCCGGAGAAUCUCAGAAACACAGAUGACAGGGAGGUGAGCGAGCUUCAGGCCUUGUGUACAAAUCUGAAAUCUGAUUCUGGCCCCCAGACUCUUAAAGCAACCACCUUAGAGUGAAAGGGAGUGAGUCCUGACCGCUCUGUGCGACUGUCUGCUUUGUAUGUGCAGAAUCAAAGCUCAUUUCUGAAAUUAAGAAUCCCCGGCCU